UGAAAGUACACGCGUUAGCCAAGAUAUCAAUAUGAAAGUUAUAUUUUCAAGUUUGAUUACAGUUACACUUCUUUUCUUCUCCCAGUGUGAAGCCCAACAUGGAAUACGAGUUAAAAAAAUGGAAAAACUUCCCUUACUUUUUGGAAAUUGGAAGGAAGAUACAAAAAUCAAGAAGGAUUUGAAAAGUUGACGAAUGAACUUAAAUAUUUAAAUCCAGUGGGCUCCAAUCCUAGUGAAAUGGAGAUUGUUUACUUAGAAAAAUUGGAGCAUAUGCAAUCUUUGGACAAGCCAACGGAAUUAUGGAACAAUCGGGUAAAUAUUUUAGAUGGCCAAUUCGUAGAUAUUUCACAAAUCCAAUGCCAAAAAGAGUACCCGUUUAGGUGAUAUGAAUCUGAAGGGAGAAGUUGAUGGUGAUAAGCUCCAUAUUCAUGUCAGUGAUCCAAAUUCCAGAAAGAAGUAUUGACCAUCA
rnacentral:lncRNA from 1 species